rnacentral:siRNA from 1 species
CAUCUGCAAGACAACCAAGGCUGC